rnacentral:rRNA from 1 species
UACGGAGGAUCCGAGCGUUAUCCGGAUUUAUUGGGUUUAAAGGGAGCGUAGGCGGGCGCUUAAGUCAGCUGUGAAAGUUUGGGGCUCAACCUUAAAAUUGCAGUUGAUACUGGGUGCCUUGAGUGCAGUAUAGGCAGGCGGAAUUCGUGGUGUAGCGGUGAAAUGCGUAGAUAUCACGAAGAACUCCUAUUGCGAAGGCAGCUUGCUGGAGUGUAACUGACGCUGAUGCUCGAAAGUGUGGGUAUCAAACAGG